GACGAACGCUGGCGGCGUGCUUAACACAUGCAAGUCGAACGGAAAGGCCUGCUUUCCCUUGUGGAUUGCGGGUACUCGAGUGGCGAACGGGUGAGUAACACGUGAGUGAUCUGCCCCCAACUUGGGUAUAAGCCUGGGAAACUGGGUCUAAUUCCCGAUAGGACUGCAGGGUGGUGCCUGUGGUGGAAAACGAUUUUCUAGUGGUUGGGGAUGAGCUCGCGGCCUAUCAGCUUGUUGGUGGGGUAAUGGCCUACCAGGGCGGCGACGGGUAGCCGGCCUGGGAGGGUGGACGGGCACAUUGGGACUGAGAUACGGCCCAGACUCCUACGGGAGGCAGCAGUGGGGAAUAUUGCACAAUGGGCGGAAGCCUGAUGCAGCGACGCCGCGUGGGGGAUGACGGCCUUCGGGUUGUAAACUCCUUUCGACCGCGAGGAAGCCACCUGGUUGGAAGGGUGGUGACGGUAGUGGUAGAAGAAGCACCGGCUAACUACGUG
rnacentral:rRNA from 1 species